AUGGACCUACUAACACUGGUGUUGU
rnacentral:snRNA from 1 species